rnacentral:rRNA from 1 species
ACGGGAGGCAGCAGUGAGGAAUAUUGGUCAAUGGACGAGAGUCUGAACCAGCCAAGUAGCGUGAAGGAUGACUGCCCUAUGGGUUGUAAACUUCUUUUAUACGGGAAUAAAGUGAGGCACGUGUGCCUUUUUGUAUGUACCGUAUGAAUAAGGAUCGGCUAACUCCGUGCCAGCAGCCGCGGUAAUACGGAGGAUCCGAGCGUUAUCCGGAUUUAUUGGGUUUAAAGGGAGCGUAGGCGGACGCUUAAGUCAGUUGUGAAAGUUUGCGGCUCAACCGUAAAAUUGCAGUUGAUACUGGGUGUCUUGAGUACAGUAGAGGCAGGCGGAAUUCGUGGUGUAGCGGUGAAAUGCUUAGAUAUCACGAAGAACUCCGAUUGCGAAGGCAGCCUGCUGGACUGUAACUGACGCUGAUGCUCGAAAGUGUGGGUAUCAAACAGGAUUAGAUACCCUGGUA